AUGACAGUAAAGAUGGACUUUUCUUCAGGCUUCGUGGCUACGCUGAUUCUCAUACUAGGAAGGACCCAUGGAGAUUCCAUGACUCAAACAGGAGGCCAAGUGACCAUCUCAGAAGGCGAGUUCCUGACAAUAAAUUGCACAUAUUCAACCACAAGUAUAGCAUAUGCUGCUCUUUCCUGGUAUGUCCUAUAUCCUGGAGAAGGCCCGAAUCUCCUCCUGAAAGUCAUCACAGCUGGCGAGAAGGGAAGCAGCAGAGGGUUUGAAGCCACAUAUGAUAAAGGAACCACCUCCUUCCACUUGCAGAAAGCCUCGGUGCAAGAGUCAGACUCGGCUGUGUACUACUGUGCUCUGGGUGACACAGUGGCAGACAUUGCAGGGGGAGCUGAGCACAAACCGAGAGGAAACAGGUGGCCUGGCUGCUGCGCACCUGCCUCUGAAAUCACUGACUUCAGCACAGCCGUCCCUGUGAGGUCUUCCAUGUCUCUGCUGGUGAAAAUCACAGCAAUGUCUGCAUGCCAGGCCACAUCAACUUCACAAAUCAGUAGAAAAAUGAAGACGGCUCCGGGGUCAUGGCUGUAA